rnacentral:snRNA from 1 species
AGUUUUGUGCAGUGGCAGCAUCAUAGCCAGUGAGGUUUAUCUGAGGAGUGAUUAUUGCUAAUUGAAAACUUUUCCCAAUACCCCACCAU